rnacentral:rRNA from 1 species
CAGAGGGGGCAAGCGUUAUUCGGAAUUAUUGGGCGUAAAGGGCGCGUAGGCGGCUUUGCAAGUGGCGGGUGAAAUCCCUCGGCUUAACCGAGGAACUGCCUGCCAGACUGUGAGGCUCGAGACCGGGAGAGGUGAGUGGAAUUCCCAGUGUAGCGGUGAAAUGCGUAGAUAUUGGGAGGAACACCAGUGGCGAAGGCGGCUCACUGGACCGGUACUGACGCUGAGGCGCGAAAGCGUGGGGAGCAAACAGGAUUAGAUACCCUGGUAGUCCACGCCGUAAACGAUGAGUGCUUGGUGUAGCGGGUAUCGACCCCUGCUGUGCCGACGUCAACACAUUAAGCACUCCGCCUGGGGAGUACGGUCGCAAGACUG